rnacentral:rRNA from 6 species
CCCGGUUACAUUCCGAACCCGGAAGCUAAGCCUUACAGCGCCGAUGGUACUGCAGGGGGGACCCUGUGGGAGAGUAGGACGCCGCCGAAC